rnacentral:rRNA from 1 species
AACGAACGCUGGCGGCAUGCCUAACACAUGCAAGUCGAACGAGACCUUCGGGUCUAGUGGCGCACGGGUGCGUAACGCGUGGGAACCUGCCCUUAGGUUCGGAAUAACUCCCCGAAAGGGGUGCUAAUACCGGAUAAUGUCUUCGGACCAAAGAUUUAUCGCCUUUGGAUGGGCCCGCGUUGGAUUAGCUAGUUGGUAGGGUAAAAGCCUACCAAGGCGACAAUUCAUAGCUGGUAUGAGAGGAUGAUUAGCCACACUGGGACUGAGACACGGCCCAGACUCCUACGGGAGGCGGCAGUGGGGAAUAUUGGACAGUGGGCUAAAGCCUGAUCCAGCAAUGCCGCGUGAGUGAUGAAGGCCUUAGGGUUGUAAAGCUCUUUUACCCGGGAUGAUAAUGACAGUACCGGGAGAAUAAGCUCCGGCUAACUCCGUG